GACGAACGCUGGCGGCGUGCCUAAUACAUGCAAGUCGAACGCAGUGGGGGCGGGUGAGUAACACGUGGGUAACCUCCCAUCAGAGGGGAUAACACUUGGCAACAGGUGCUAAACCGAUACGGAUGUAUGGAGUCGCGGGGCAUUAGCGAGUUGGUGAGGUAACGGCUUACCAAGGCGACGAUGCAGAGCUGACCUGAGAGGAUGAUCGGCCACAGUGGGACUGAGACACGGCCCAGACUCCUACGUGAGGCAGCAGUAGGGAAUAUUCGGCAAUGGACGAAAGUCUGACCGAGCAACGCCGCGUGAGUGAAGAAGGUUUUCGGAUCGUAAAACUCUUUUGUCAGAGAAGCGUUAUCUACCCAGAAAGCCACGGCUAACUACGUGCCAGCAGCCGCGGUAAUAC
rnacentral:rRNA from 1 species